GUAGCAUCUUUUUGUGAACUCCGUUUCUCGUUUUUUCUUUUGCUACCUGCUGUUUGAUUUUUCAUACAAGUAUCAUGCGAAGUAGGAGUCACAUCUGCAACAACAAGGUUUUUUGUUACUUACAACCAUGAGGGUGCAAGAAAGCUACGAUGCAAUGAACUAGCAGCACAUCCUCACUAACAACUUUCCCUGAGCGGUUGCAUUUGAAAGUGUAACGUGUUACCGCCUUACCACCAGAUUUACUUGCAUGCUUCAUGAGAAACAAAGGGCAUGCCCACAUGCGGGACAUGGUGGAUGCACACUUCUUGGCUGCAAGUCUGAGCUGCGACAACACUAUCAUUUUCUAGGAACAUUAAAAUGUCCUCUUGUGAAAGCUGUUCUAUAUUUUCCUUGUGCCCAGUACCACCAUCUUGUUCAUCUUGUUGAUCAUCACAUUCAGGUACAUUCUGUUUUUUUCCAAAUGUAGAUGCUUGUUGAGAAUUGUGUGAAUCACCAUCAGCACUCAUGUCGUCGGUCAAACUAGGACCAUGUCUAGAACCAGCUGGAGUUGUAUCAUCUGUAAAAUGUUCUCCAAGCCUAAAACCAGCAGCAGCUUCAUCAACAUUAAUGGUUAAAUCAUCGUCUAAUUCGUCAUCCAUUUCAUCGUCAUCACUGUUGUGUGGUCUGUAUCCAGAGUGGUAGCUACUGCCUGCGUGUUCUUCAGUUCGGUUGUCGUCCCAGAUCCAACUAGGAAAACCUUCCGCCCCAACGUCUAUUUUCUGUGUUUGCUGUGUUUUUGUUGUUUGACACAUGUUGUUAUCCUGUUCCAAGCAUCCAUAUCGUUCGGUCAGCAUGAACAUGUCAUUCUGCAUCAUCAAUAACAAAAUUAGUAAUCUUUUUUUUUCAUGUCGUGGGACAUAAGAGAGCGGUCAAAUGUACAUACAUAAAAUCCAGUCAACUUUACCUCAUGAUUAAUUCCUCCACCAGGGUUUUCUUUGUGACCAAAUUGCUGGGAUCCACCAAUCCCACCCUGUUAUCAGUAAACAUGUUAUGCAAUUUGCUUUAUUCAGUUAGUUCGGACAUUUUGUUCUUUUUUCCCUUUUAUUUUGCGUUGUACAUGUGAAAGUAUAAAAAAAUACUUCUUCUAUAGUACCUCUUGACUGGCAACCAUCAACAACUGCGUGUAAGUUAAGUUGAUACCUUCAAGGAAAUCCAUAUCCUGCAUUUUUUGUUUUAUAAUUUUUUUUAUUGGAGCAUCUCACAAAAUACAUCGAUGCAAUGAAUUUGAAGAGUUCUUUUUUCUAUUCAUAACGAAAUACAUGUGGUGCAACUGAACUGAAUUUUUUGUUUUCUAUCUUACCUGAAAAGGGGUUAGCAAAUUCUUGAAAGCUGGAGCAUCAACAUUUUGAAAAUUUUGUUGCAAAAGGGCUUUCUGGUUGGAGUAAUCUGGAUGUUGUGCCUGCUGCAAUUGAAUUUUGUCAGUCUGGAACGAUGAGUUAACAGCAAGAUGGUAUGUACACACACAUGUAGUUUUUGCAUGCAAAGUUGGUCUAAAAAACAAACAAACCUGGCUGCACAUAAGGAAUUGGCCAUACUGCUCCAAGAUUCCUGUGAAAAAAACAGAGUUUACCAAGAUUUUCAGAUCCAAAAGAAGAGGAGAAAAAAAACUACAAAAUUGGAUCCAUGGAUGGAGCAGAACAAACCAUCCUUCAACAAACCAUCCUCGUGAGCUUCUUUCCCUCCCCUUCUAUCCAUGUUGUGCCCUUUUUCUUUUGAUUUUUGUGAAGCCUCUUCAAUGCCUAAGUACAGCCGCCACCACCUUGCAUAGGGUUAGGGAGGGAGGAAGGGAGGAGAGGA